rnacentral:misc_RNA from 1 species
UGGUUAUGUCAUCCGCGAUCAUCAACCCCUACAGCUACGGUUAUGGGCGAUCCGGAUACCCAACUUGGCCUGGCCAAGGUGGAUUCAUCAAAGGAGGUGGAAUGAUCGGAGGAGGUGGAAUGAUCGGAGGAGGUGGAAUGAUCGGAGGAGGACGCAUGCGUUACAGACGAUCUAUCGGAAUGCCAAUCUACGGGUAUCCAACAUAUGGAACCUAUGGUGGAUACAAAGGAUCAUAUUAUUACUAAACAGCUUUUGGUGUCGACAUCUUAUGGCGGAAGUCUGCAAAUGUGUGAGAAUAACCGAUCAUGUCCAACAAUUCAGACCUUAAAUUAUUUAAUAAACUCGUAAAACUAA